UCACUCUCACACACACUUGACAAUGGCGGCCUCUGCAACGCCUCUAUCUCUCUCCUUCUUCACCUCCUCAAUUUUCCUCACUUCCUCUUCUCACAAAACCCUCUCAACCCUCAUACCCAACAAUUCUUUCAAAACCCCCAAACCCCUCACCAUCUCCUCCGAGCUCGCCACCCUCCCCGUCCUCUCCUUCACCGGCGACAAGGUUGGCGAGACCUUCCUCGACCUGAAAGCCGCCCUCCCCGACACCGCACGUGCCGUCGUCCACCGCGCCAUCAUCACCGACCUCCAGAACAAGCGCCGCGGCACCGCUUCCACGCUCACACGCGCCGAGGUCCGCGGAGG
rnacentral:lncRNA from 1 species